UUUCAGGGAUGUUACCCACAAACAUCAUGAAUGAUAUGACAUGAGAUUCUAAUAGAGAUAUGAAAUAAAUCUUAAGCUAAUACACAUGUAAUUAAUUGAUAUAUAUUUUCAAGCAUGGCAACUGUCAAAGCAAGGAAAUAUAAAAGUGUAGUGUGCAUCAAGUCGCAUGACUUUCUCAGAGUACUAAUACCUCCACCACAAUAGGGCACCGCCUGAGUUUUAGGUGCACUACUCAAGUUCACAAGUAUUUUCUACAAUUUGUUAGAACCU
rnacentral:lncRNA from 1 species